GCAAAUAGUCAAUUUUCAAUUUGUUUGAUUCGAUGUGUUGCGACAUAUCUUCGAUAGGAUUAGGUUUAUUUCCAGUCCAUGGACCACCUAAAAAAUACAAAUAGAUAUUGCAUCAUAAUGAAGAACGGAUAUUUUCAUUUGCUGCAAGCAUCAUGUUACACGCUUUCAAAUUACUUGCAUUAAGCUGGAAUUUAAUAAACACGCACGUGGUUAGAUUGAUGGUAAGCCGAUUAUGUGUCUGCGCAUUAUUAAACAAUUAGCUACACCUGAAGCAAGCGCGAUCGGGAUUGCAACAACGUCAUUUUUUGCGCACAAAUAUCAAUGGAGGUUGUCAUUGAUGGUCGAUAAAAAGCGUUCACAUUUAUCGCACGCUUCCGAAAUGGCCGCCGAUGAUUCAAGCAACUGUUGCAACUCACUGACAAAUCUUUCAUGCAAUACAUCCACUUUAUUUGUCAGCGUUUUUAACGCAGCUUCAUCUAUAAUAUUGAAAUAAAGAAGAAUGCUAAUAGAUAAA